rnacentral:rRNA from 1 species
UGCAGUCGACGGGCUCUUCGGAGCAAGUGGCGGACGGGUGAGUAACGCGUGAGAAUGUGCCUUCAGGAUGGGGAUAACAAUAGGAAACUAAUGCUAAGACCCAAUGUGCCUUAAGAGGUGAAAAAUGAAAAUUGCCUGAAGAGGAGCUCGCGUCUGAUUAGCUAGUUGGGGUGGUAAAAGCGCACCAAGGCAACGAUCAGUAGCUGGUCUGAGAGGAUGAGCAGCCACACUGGGACUGAGACACGGCCCAGACUCCUACGGGAAGCAGCAGUGGGGAAUUUUCCGCAAUGGGCGAAAGCCUGACGGAGCAAUACCGCGUGAGGGAGGAAGGCUCUUGGGUUGUAAACCUCAAAACUUAGGGAAGAAAAAAAUGACGGUACCUAAUCUAAGCAUCGGCUAACUCCGUGCCAGCAGCCGCGGUAAUACG